CAAUAGCGUAUAUUAAAAUUGUUGCGGUUAAAAAGCUCGUAGUUGGAUUUCUGCUACUGAGAACCGCCUCCAUCAGGGGGUUGGUUGUACAGUGGUUUCUCUUGGUGCACGUGAUGGCGCUUGAUUGUGCUGCGCGGGCUCCAGGUCUUUUACUUUGAGGAAAUUAGAGUGUUUCAAGCAGACAACUGUCUUGUAUACAUUAGCAUGGAAUAAUAGGAUAGGACUUUGGUUCUAUUUUGUUGGUUUUAAGAACCAUAGUAAUGAUUAAUAGAAUUAGUCGGGGGCAUUCGAAUUUAACAGUCAGAGGUGGAAUUCUUGGAUUUGUUAAAGACGAACUACUGCGAAAGCAUUUGCCAAGAAUGUUUUUAUUGA
rnacentral:rRNA from 1 species